UUCCAGUUAUCAUUAGGGCUGCACAGCUCAGGCCAUUUUUAAACAAUUAUACUCAGCUGUUAAAAAAAACCCUCCCGCGCGAAAAUAAAUUUUAGCUGAGAUGGUUUUAUGCUUUGCAGCCUCAUAUGACACUCAAUCUUUCUCGUGUGACUGUUGUAACAAGUCAAAUUCAUGUAUUUUGAUACCCCGCACGUGAUAAAGACACUUGGAUCGCUUAAGCCUGUACGAAACUGCAGUGCUCGCGUGUCAUUUAUCUUCAAAUCCUAUUGUAGCUCUCGUGAAAUGUAAUUUCUUCAGUGAAUGGAAAUUUAUACCGAGAGAGGUGUUAUAAAACAUGGAAAAUACUGGGGGGAAGGGGACCCAAUGUUUCCUUUAUCUCUUCAAGUAUUCACUAACGGGGAUUUAUUUUUCAGCACGGCGUCGGCUCGUUGCAGGUUACAGAGCUCUGGUGCAGUUAAAGGGACCCGUUUCCUGUCUUUUUGGGCAAAACUUGCAUCGCUUGCAACAGUGAUGAGAAACCACCAUUCAAAUUCCCCCGAAACACCAAGCUGGGCUGCUCUCUCUGCUCGCAGAGGGAUUUCCCUGAAUCUCCAGUACAAAAGCUCCGUUUGUUGCAAAAGCCAGUGACCAGGAGUUGGGAAAAGCAGAAAACUCUGAAAUAUGCCUGGAGCUCUAAAAUGAGAAGAUAAACACCUCAAAACCAAUCCAAAAAGAUGGGAUUUAGCUGAGUGACUAACACUGCCUGUGGUAAGAUGGGGCAAUGUCCAUGGCUCCUCGAGAGAGAGCUGAGGAAGAGAUGAAUCACCGUAGACUCCAUCGACUGUAUUGACUGGCUCUCCAUUGACUAGCAAGGGAGCCACAGACUGAAGGGGUCCCUCUGAAGCCGUAUCUCAUCCCUCCUCUGACUCUUCCUGCGCUUCCUCCUCAGAGCAUCAGCCACUUCUGAGAAAGUCUGGGGUGACCAGGAGAGAAACUGGCUGGGUCAUCAGGAAAGUGUACACUUGCAAGAGAGAAAAAAAACCCCACGUCAGUCUGUAGGAGCGUAUGCCAUUAAAAGCAAAAACCAGCCUACACGUGUAAGAGCGGCAGCCCCUACAGCGUGGUGUACGUCCACACACUCAGCCCGUUGUCUCAGGAGCUCCGUCUCCCUUCGGCUGUGAUGGCUCUCGACUGUUUGCAGUCUGUGCGCCCUGACGUGCGUGGAAUAUUACUAUGAAAAUGUGCAUUCUUGUUAAUAGGUGUAGUUUAGGAUGAUUGUUAGCAGAGCAUAAGGCCUUAUUGAUUGAAAGUGGCAUAUGGCAAGGAUGUAUAAUGAUUCACUUUGGCUGCUAGUUUGAAAUCCUAUUCACGGGCAAAAAAAAAAAAAAAAACCAACCAAAAAAAAAAAAAAACCCCACUCUCCUUUGCAGUCAGGCUUCAUUCUUUCUGCGGCGUGUUUUUCAAACCAGGCCUUUUACAAGUGAUCCGUAGGAGAGAUUUCCUGCUCUCCUGGGUGUGUGCUCAAAGCUCUUUUCAGUCCUGCAAGGGCAGGUCACAGGAACAAAAGCUUGAAGUUAUCAUACGCCUCCCUUGGAGGGAAAGGUUGGUUGCCUUGCAGCUCUCUCCUCUAAAACUCUUUUUCAGGGCAUUUAGUGUUUAUGAAAGGUGGUGUGGACUUGAAAACCUGAUGCAGGGUAAAUGCCAGGGAGGGGGUACAGCCUGAGAGAUGCCCAGUUUCCAGCAGCACACCUUGGUGCCUGGUGGGAGAGCCUGUGAAUCCCCACCCGUGGCCACAGCCUCGUGGAAAACGGGUUGGACGUUUUUACCAAUUGCAUUUUCAAAAGACGAAGCUGCCGACACUCUAGCAAACUGCACUAAAGGUGGGGGCUUCGCUGGAUCCAGCUCCUCUUCACCAGGGGGGAAAAAUGCAUGUUCCUACGUGUCAUUAGCAAAUACAGAGUGAUUAACCUGAGGUAAAAUCCCAGCGAAAGCAAAGCAGCUAAAGUAUUAAUACAUGUGAACUGACAGAGAUAGGCCCUGAGGACCUCGUCCAUCCUCUGUGUGUGUUAGAAGGUCCAAGUGAAGGUCGGGUUGUCUCACCUGGUUGGCCACGUGUAGACAGACACGGUGAGCACGGACGUUGCGGCUGGGUAGAGGUGGCACCUUGUGAGCCCUGAAUGCCCCCCACUGCCACAUCACUGGUAGUUUGGAGGGAUGUGUUGAACCUCAAGAGAGGUUUCCUGAAGGAUGACAGCUCAGAGUGACCCUGCCCCAGUUCUUGAUAGCAAACAAAGCCACAACUGAUGCUACUACUGGCCCCGGCUCCUGCUUCUCCACUGCUGCCAGGAGGGCACUGUGGGGAAGGGUUUUGCUAGACUGGCUGAACAGUGGGGAUAAAGGUGAUCCCAGCAACCCCUCAGAACUAUCUUGCAACCUCCACCAUACAGGGAAAACCUGGUCCUAACCCACCAGUUGAUCAACUCAUCUGGGGCUCUAACUGGUGAAGGGGAAGAGCGUGAUCUCUGCUCAUUCCUAUAGUCCCACAAACCUCCCUGACCUCUAUCUAGCUGAUUUAAUAGCGUGAUGUUAGGUGAUAUCUGGAGACUUUUCUUGGCAACAGCACUACAAACAAUUCCCAUGGUGUUCCUCUCACUACUGGAGUUCCAGCCCUUGUUUUUCUCCAGCAGCAAAUAAAGAGUGGAGCUUUCAUAUAUGUCUCUUCUGGGAACUGAUGCUUUCUAGGAAUUGCUUGAAAAUAAUUAAGUAACCCAUUUGAUUGUCAUCCAGAAGCUCUGUACUUGCUUCAUGAUCUUGCACGAUUCUUUUUUUCCAGGGAGAUACUUCUUCAAGACGGUCUCGAGGAUUUGCCUGUGGUAGGCAAAACAGGGCUCCCUUGAAUAAAAUAACUCCGAACAAGCAAAUAAACUGAAUGCCUUUCAUUAUACCUGUCACCAGUUUAUUUACUCCAUGGCCUCUUUCUGCCAUAAAAGUCUUGAGUGAUUUCAGCAUACUAAAACAUCUUCACUCAUUUUCAGAAAAUAACAACAACUGCCAAUGUAUGAACUCACUAUUUUCUCAGAACGCCUAUUGUUCAGUGUCCGACCCUUAUUGUUUCUCAUCUCCUGUGAAUGGUUUACAAUGAAAUCCACUUUAUUUUCAGUGGAAAGCAAAAUGUGUCGGAGCAAGACAAUCGACUGCAAGCCUUCAGUCAAUAACAGCUUAUUUUUAUGCAUGCUAAGAUGUAGUCAUUUCUUGCGUUCAUUGAAAUUGGUGGCAAAAUUCCCAUUUGGAGGUGUCUGUUCAAUCCUGUGCCAGGUCCUGGGCUCCUGCUAAGCGUAAGCUGGUACGCCUUACCAUGCACCUUCUAAAACUGGAUCCAGCACGCACAGACUACCUUUUCAUGGGCUCUGUAAGCCGUCCUGCAGCAAGUGCUUAUAAUUUAAGACCUUGUAUCAGCACAAUACUUCAGCAUCGCUCAACUGGUUUGCUGAUUAGGAGCCUUUGUAAGAGAUUGAGCUGUUGACAGGUGAAUCAUCUCUGUCCCACAGUGUCUCAGUCUCUACUCUUGGUUUGUGGCCAACAUCAACUCCCACUGAAGGCCUUUCUUAUAUAGUUUUCCUGUGAAUGCUUUACAUGGGGUCAUCACAUCUUGCAGAUAAACACUGAAAAGCUGAAGCAUGCUAUUAAGCUUCUUAAAACAUUAGAAAGACAAUCAUUUUGACAGAAUAGAUGUUAAUCACACUUAUAUAAAAGCUUUUCAUCUUCAAAGCAUUUAACCAACAUUAAUUACAUGUAAUUGGCUUUUCCAUGUACGUCAUGCAAAACGCACCUUUCAUGUCACUUGUCGCUGCUAUCUUACCCAGGAUUACUGAGAGAAAGCUGUGCCUCCUCAGUGCAGCUUGGCUUCCUGGAGCCACCUGAGGCCUCAUCUUGCAAAUCACAAAGGGCAACAUUUAAAACAGCAGUUGCACAGAAUACAGGCACCUCAGCUGAGCUGAGAGAUCUGUGAAAAAAGUAAUGCCAUCCCACUUGGGUGCCUGCAAAGUUGUAAGUGUCUCCAUUUCACUGGCAAAAGCUUCCUCGGAGACUCUUUGAAGUUCCCUGUGCUGGGGGAUGUCCUGGUUUUCAUGAAACCCAUCCACGUCCCAUACCCACACUCUGGUGUCCGCAAGCACUGCUGUUUGCCCGAAAUAUCCAGGAUGCCCUAGCCAGAAGGCAAGGUGCUCUGUGGACUCCAGCAGCACUGCGUUUGAAAGGGUACAGAGAAAAGAACAGGGGCUAUUUUCCAUAGUAACCACAUCUUCAAGCACUUACCCAAGAAGUUGAAAACUUGGGUCCAUUUCCUUCCUCUGUGGAGGUCUGAAACCCUCAUCUGCCACCACCCUGUCAUACUUUUCUUGCAUGACCUUUUCAUUGAAACAACGGCUGCAUUCAGCCACAAGCAACUUGAAAAAGUUAAGAUUUUCAUUCCAAUUUACAACAUGUGUGGGACAAAAAAAAAAGAUUUCUUGCCCAGUGAACUGUCAGGAUUCAGCUAGGAAAUACGAGUUCCACGUGUCCUUGGAAGAGCUGGCUAGUAUUCAGGUUCCCUAGUGCUCAGGGCUGAAAGGAAAGGAUUUUGGAAGCAUUAGUCACAAAAAAAUAAAUUCUACCAGAAAGGAUAAAUCAAGAAAAGAAAAAAAAAAAGUUGUAUAAAGGGACUAGCUCAUGAAGAAUGUUCCCUGAAGAUGCAUGUUGGGUGGAGGGUAAGGUUCACAACAGGUAAGAAAACAAACCCCAGCACUAUCUGUGAUCAACAGCACCACCCAGGUCAGAACCACAGGACCUUUGCUAUCAGCUGGAGAUUGAUAGCAACGAAGGUUCUGAUAGGAGUCUUCACUCUGGCUGCCUUUCAGAAAGCAAUACUGAGGUGGUAUUAAGCUUGUUUUCAUACUGAAUGUAGCACCAUUUACAAGGUGAUUAUCACCUGUUCAUAUAUGUAGCUAAUAGAGCUAAAAAAAGUGCUGCUAAUUCAAUGGCUCAUAAAUGGAUGAAAGCUCCACCUGACAUUCCUGCAUUGUCUUGAAGUAAAUAAAGGUGCUUUCCCAAAAGCCCAGGAUUUUCUUAACUUUUAUUCUUAACCCUCAACUUUUAUUCAGAACCUGAGAUGGCUACAAAGGCCAGAGACUGAGUUUCCCACGGAGCUGUUUUAGGUCUGGGAUAAUAAGUUGCAAAUCUCUUGAACUGUCUUGCACAUUGAAAGACUCUCCAUCCUUCAUUAGCAUGCAUUAGAGGGAGGGAGACCUGCGUGAUACAGUCAGGAUGAGCAGAAAAACAGUCCUGCUGUGCAAAAGGAGCCCAGGGACCUAACCCCAAAUCAUAGGGAGGCAGAUUUUUAGAAAAGCAUUUAAGUGGCAGUUUCCAGUGCAAGCCAUAAUUGUGCUCAUAAAUCAAGAAGAUCCUUUAAAAAUCCCACACAGUGUCACCUGCCCUCGGUAGCUGGAGUGGCUGUUUAUUUUGCAGACAUCUUCACAAUUUCAUUCGCAAGAUUAUAAUUCAGUUAGUGGUAGCACAGUUCUGUCAGCCUACUCCCACCCUUGAAGAUAAGUAAAUGGUUAAGUGCUUUAUUGGUUCAGAGCAAGAAGACUCUCCACCUUGCAGGAUUGAGCCCUGUAAUCUAUUUGUAUUUCCUUUUCAACUUCUGCAAGUAACCCCAAACAGGCUGGGAACACUAAGUGCAAAGUUACGGGAGAUGACUGUGGCAAUUUCUGAAUGACAAGAGCAUUUAAAAGAAAUGUCAAGAGUCUGUGGGCUGCAAGCUUUUAUGUUUCAAGGAGAAACAAGAAGAAAGGAGGGACAAUAAAUCAAACGCAACAGCUUAGCAUGCUCCAUCUCUGAGAGUUAACCUCUUGAAAGCCAUGUCCCCGACACAGCGCGGGCCACACUCCUUUGAUCGGGUCCAUUAUUUUCUGCACAGCGAUGGAAGCAGCAGGGUGGGCUCCUCCAUGCAUGCCCA